GACGAACGCUGGCGGCGUGCUUAACACAUGCAAGUCGAACGGAAAGGCCCCUUUGGGGGUACUCGAGUGGCGAACGGGUGAGUAACACGUGAGUAACCUGCCCUUGACUUCGGGAUAACUUCAGGAAACUGGGGCUAAUACCGGAUAGGAAUCCUUGCUGCAUGGUGGGGGUUGGAAAGCUUCGGCGGUUUUGGAUGGACUCGCGGCUUAUCAGCUUGUUGGUGGGGUAGUGGCUUACCAAGGCUUUGACGGGUAGCCGGCCUGAGAGGGCGACCGGCCACAUUGGGACUGAGAUACGGCCCAGACUCCUACGGGAGGCAGCAGUGGGGAAUAUUGCACAAGGGGCGGAAGCCUGAUGCAGCAACGCCGCGUGCGGGAUGACGGCCUUCGGGUUGGAAACCGCUUUCAGCAGGGGCGAAGCUUGUGGUGACGGUACCUGCAGAAGAAGCACCGGCUAACUACGUG
rnacentral:rRNA from 1 species